AAUCCAAUCAAGCCUGGCUUGGUAUUGAGCGUCGGGGUCUCCCCGCGCUUCAAUUUCACCGGCUGGCCGUCGCCCGUCUUAGCGUUGUGACACACUUCUCGCUAGCGACCGGGGCGGACCACGCCGUUAGAACCUCCUAAAUUUCAAUCGAAAUUUGACUAAA
rnacentral:misc_RNA from 1 species